GUCCAUCGCUCAGCGACCCCAUGGACUGCAGUCUUCCAGGCUCUUGCGUCCAUGGGAUUUUCCAGGGCAUACCAAGAAAGUGGAGUAGCCAAUUACUUACAAGAUAAUUCAAACUGUUUUCCAACAUGGUUCUACUGAUUUAUAUUCCCAUCCACAACGUCUAAGAGUUCUGCUUGCUUUUGAAUUUUGCCAACAUUUUCUCUAAGGAACUUGGAUCCUCAAGUCCUGGAUGCUUUGACAGCUCUGAAAUCCAACCUUCCAGCCCCACGUGGUUGCCAAAGCUUUGCCACUCAUUUGUUGCUUGGGGCUAGUGGAGCAAAGCAAGAGCAGAAGAAUUGAGAAGGGAAAACUUAUCUCCAUCCUUCAUAUCAAGAAGAAAUAUUUCCAUUUCUUUUCCCGGUGAAUAAGCUGCUGGGUAAGAUAGAAUCGAAUUGCUGAGUUACAUCUCUGGGUUCUGGCUGAGAUGUUUGUGACUGAAGAAACAACAAAUUAAACAUCAAGAUAAAGAAAAAUGAAAUAUAAAAGGAUAUGUAAUUCACAAUUAAUGUAGCAAUAUGUUAUUGUUUUAUGUACAAUAUUGUACAUAAAAUGUAUAAUGUGGUAUACAUAAUAUAAUGUAUAUAUAUAUGAUAAAUUAAAAUUCUCAGAAGCAUGUUAUAGUUUUAAAAUGUCAGACAGGAUUCAGAUUUUCUCACGCUAUCUUGCAUAAACUGCCAAGUAUUUCCAAUAUGUAACAUACAAAAGUCUAAGUUCAGAAGUAAUGUACUUUUCUAGAUCUUUGAAAAAUAAAUACAAAACAUUUUAAACAUUUCUUUCUGUGUUUAAUUAGGUUAUUAAUAUUUCUGAAUUUAUGUCAGCUGUGAUUAGAUUUCAUUAUUUAU
ensembl:lncRNA